UCUGGAAUUAUAAUCUAUACGAAAAGAUCUUAUAUGUUACCAAGUUAUUUAAUUAUUGAUUAACAAUUACUUAUCUAAAAUUUUAAUAGAAAAUUAAAGAUUUUGUUGGAAAAACCCUCAUUUUCCGGGGAAAGUUUUUGUCAAAGUGAAUCGGGAAAAACACGUCUCUAUGCAGAAUUUAAUUGCGGUGAAUUUUUAUUUGGAUGUUUUUGGUGUAAAGUUAAAAUCUUUGGAGCUAUAGAGCAAAAAUUGAAAAAAAAACACGAUUUUCAAGCGCCAUUUUGUUUAUAAAAAAAGUAGCACACUAUCUGCGGACUUUGUAUACCUAUAUUAUUAAUACAUACAAUAAUAAGAUUCGAUCCCAGCAAUAAAAUUGCUGGGUAAUAACUUUUCCCAAAAAUGGCCUAUUCUCCGAUAAUCAGCCCAGACUAUUAAUCGGUGCGUCGACGACACGAUUUUUUUCGCAAUAUAAGCGACAGCGUUUUUUCAUUGUCAUGAACACAUUGCUGCGAUUAUUCGUCGUGACGACGACGUGUUUUUUCUCAUUGAUCACGUUGAACCGACGACAACGACAUAGUCUAGAAUGGAUUCUUCGAAAUCGGAGGAAGAUUUGAUCUUGCUGGUUGCUUUAGCAGACGAGGAGGAUCAAAGGUUUUUAGCAACAGGCGACAGCUUCAGUACAAUCGGGCACAGUUAUCGUGUUGGAUUUGCAACUGUCUCUACAAUAUAAAAUGAAGUAUGUGAAGCUACACGUAAAAGAUUACAGCCUAUUUAUCUUCCCGAACCGACAACAGAAAUAUGGCAAAAAUCAGGUGCAAAAAUAUAGGCGCAAAAUUUCGGCUCCAAUACUAUAUUUAAAUGGGAUUUAUUUUUUCGAAUUCUGAGAAAAAAGUUACAGGGGUGAAAAACUAAGAGACAAUUUAGUGUGAUUUUUAUUUUCAAAGAUCUCAUUCAAAAGAAACUUUUUAUUUAUUCUAAGGGACUUUCAGCCCUCGGUAAUAAUUUAGUCUUUCAUUCUGCGUUUAAAUUUUUCAAAAGUAUUACUUUUUUCAGUAUAGGGCUUUUCAUUCGCAGUCAUUUGUUUCGAGCUUCUGUCAUGUGUCACAUAAUAUUAAUAUAUCUACGUUAUACGUUAUUGGUAUAUAACAAUGAUACAAACUAGAGACGUAUGACGUAAAUAUAUUAAUAUUAUGUGACACAUGACAGAAGCUCGAAACAAAUGGCAAUCGAUGAAAAGCCCUAUAGGGCUUUUCAUUCACAGUCAUUUGUUUCGAGCUUCUGUCAUGUGUCACAUAAUAUUAAUAUAUCUACGACAUACGUUAUUGGUAUAUACAAUAAUACAAACCAAAGACGUAUGACGUAGAUAUAUUAAUAUUAUGUGACACAUGACAGAAGCUCGAAACAAAUGACAAUCGAUGAAAAGCCCUAUUGGAAAAAAAUGAACACCAUGUCAGUGGUAAUAUUUUCCAAAUUGAACAUUCGCUAUCUUUGUCGUACAAUGCACUCAGUCGAACACAAUGUGCUGACAAGACAGCGGCAAUUUUAGAUAUUUGACACGGCUUUAGGAAUAAUAAUAACGUUUGAUCCAAAAUUAUUGUCACCAUAGGUGGCUCUCAACGACAGAGAUAGAUAUACAGUGCAUGUCUAUUCUUAAUUCAGAUAUACUACUUUCCAGUUUACGUCAACUUUGCAGUGCACGUCAACUUAACAAGAAAAGUUAGGUUAUGUAGAGAUGUUGGUGGUGGACAUAUACAGCAUCUUGUUUGAUUUUAUUUAUUAUUGUUACGUAUAAUUGUGUUAAUUCUUUUUAUUUUAGAUUAAAGUUCUGUGUUAAAGGUUU
rnacentral:lncRNA from 1 species